rnacentral:rRNA from 1 species
UAUCCUGUCUGAAUAUGGGGGGACCAUCCUCCAAGGCUAAAUACUCCUGACUGACCGAUAGUGAACCAGUACCGUGAGGGAAAGGCGAAAAGAACCCCGGCGAGGGGAGUGAAAAAGAACCUGAAACCGUGUACGUACAAGCAGUGGGAGCCUCUUUUAUGGGGUGACUGCGUACCUUUUGUAUAAUGGGUCAGCGACUUAUAUUCUGUAGCAAGGUUAACCGAAUAGGGGAGCCGAAGGGAAACCGAGUCUUAACUGGGCGUUAAGUUGCAGGGUAUAGACCCGAAACCCGGUGAUCUAGCCAUGGGCAGGUUGAAGGUUGGGUAACACUAACUGGAGGACCGAACCGACUAAUGUUGAAAAAUUAGCGGAUGACUUGUGGCUGGGGGUGAAAGGCCAAUCAAACCGGGAGAUAGCUGGUUCUCCCCGAAAGCUAUUUAGGUAGCGCCUCGUGAACUCAUCUCCGGGGGUAGAGCACUGUUUCGGCAAGGGGGUCAUCCCGACUUACCAACCCGAUGCAAACUGCGAAUACCGGAGAAUGUUAUCACGGGAGACACACGGCGGGUGCUAACGUCCGUCGUGAAGAGGGAAACAACCCAGACCGCCAGCUAAGGUCCCAAAGUCAUGGUUAAGUGGGAAACGAUGUGGGAAGGCCCAGACAGCCAGGAUGUUGGCUUAGAAGCAGCCAUCAUUUAAAGAAAGCGUAAUAGCUCACUGGUCGAGUCGGCCUGCGCGGAAGAUGUAACGGGGCUAAACCAUGCACCGAAGCUGCGGCAGCGACGCUUAUGCGUUGUUGGGUAGGGGAGCGUUCUGUAAGCCUGCGAAGGUGUACUGUGAGGUAUGCUGGAGGUAUCAGAAGUGCGAAUGCUGACAUAAGUAACGAUAAAGCGGGUGAAAAGCCCGCUCGCCGGAAGACCAAGGGUUCCUGUCCAACGUUAAUCGGGGCAGGGUGAGUCGACCCCUAAGGCGAGGCCGAAAGGCGUAGUCGAUGGGAAACAGGUUAAUAUUCCUGUACUUGGUGUUACUGCGAAGGGGGGACGGAGAAGGCUAUGUUGGCCGGGCGACGGUUGUCCCGGUUUAAGCGUGUAGGCUGGUUUUCCAGGCAAAUCCGGAAAAUCAAGGCUGAGGCGUGAUGACGAGGCACUACGGUGCUGAAGCAACAAAUGCCCUGCUUCCAGGAAAAGCCUCUAAGCAUCAGGUAACAUCAAAUCGUACCCCAAACCGACACAGGUGGUCAGGUAGAGAAUACCAAGGCGCUUGAGAGAACUCGGGUGAAGGAACUAGGCAAAAUGGUGCCGUAACUUCGGGAGAAGGCACGCUGAUAUGUAGGUGAAGUCCCUCGCGGAUGGAGCUGAAAUCAGUCGAAGAUACCAGCUGGCUGCAACUGUUUAUUAAAAACACAGCACUGUGCAAACACGAAAGUGGACGUAUACGGUGUGACGCCUGCCCGGUGCCGGAAGGUUAAUUGAUGGGGUCAGCGCAAGCGAAGCUCUUGAUCGAAGCCCCGGUAAACGGCGGCCGUAACUAUAACGGUCCUAAGGUAGCGAAAUUCCUUGUCGGGUAAGUUCCGACCUGCACGAAUGGCGUAAUGAUGGCCAGGCUGUCUCCACCCGAGACUCAGUGAAAUUGAACUCGCUGUGAAGAUGCAGUGUACCCGCGGCAAGACGGAAAGACCCCGUGAACCUUUACUAUAGCUUGACACUGAACAUUGAGCCUUGAUG